GGAAGAGUGGUUGCAGUGGUUUCUAGCGCUCUGUCCAACUUCGAGAUUCUAUGACCAGGCUCUUGUGAUUGGCACUGCUGAUAACAGACCCAGCCAGUCAGCUGGACUGAACUGAUGUUUGAUGGACUGUUGGAUUAUAUUAGCCACCAGCUGUCUCGACCCUAAGGGCCAGGCAUUUAGAUAAGUGCACCCCUAAAGUUCUGUACAGUUCAGGGCCCAUGAAAAUGCCCCUUCAUCAAGCAUUUCCCCCCAUACAGACAUGUCCAUUAACAAAUUUUUCCAUUAUCCUUGAAAGCAUGCUCUGGCUGCUUGGAAAAUCAUCUCUUCUUCCCCUCCUUCUCAUAAUCAAUUGCUACCAAUUGCUAUGCCAAAAUCCAUAUUAAGCUGUACAUGUAUGUGUGUAUCUAUACACAUAUAUGUGUACAUACACACAUAUUUGAGCAGGAGAGCAACAGAAUCUAUUUAUGCCUUGGUGAUAAAAACAAGAUUGAGCUAAAAGACAACAUAAUCAGAAGACAGAAAAUGAACACAACAUCUAAAGAACCAGAUAAGACUGUGAGAGACCAGGGAUGGUAUUUAAGAGACUUCCCCCAGCCAGAGGGAAUAAGAUAUGUAGAAUACUGAACCACACUGAUAUCUAUCUAGAGACCUGGGAGAGGAACAGCAACAGUAUACUUGCCACAUCUAAGGAGGGGAGGAGGGGCCCAUCUGUGCUCACCCCACUGCUUCAGGGUCCUUCUAACAAAGAGAUUGUGCUGCGGUGGCCCCAAGAACCUUCCAGCAGGCAAUGCCUGCUGCUUUGGAAGUAUUCAGAAGUUGCAAUGCUGGGAACCAAGAUGUCAGGUUAUUGAAAGGAGAGGAACUACCAGAUAGAACCUGGCUUUGUAGAGCAAAUAAAGGAGGUUCUAGCCUUGACAAGAGGAGUGUGGCCCUUCCUGGAAUCCCUCUGGACACACCCUCCUAGCAUCCUCUAGGAAAGAUGCGGCAGCUCAAAGGGAAGCCCAAGAAGGAGACCUCCAAGGACAAGAAGGAGCGGAAGCAAGCCAUGCAGGAGGCCCGGCAGCAGAUCACCACAGUGGUGCUGCCCACGCUGGCCGUGGUUGUGCUCUUGAUCGUGGUGUUUGUGUACGUGGCCACACGCCCCACCAUCACCGAGUGAGCCCUGCAGCCAGCCGUGGACCCCAUCGGCAGGGAGAGGAGGCGCGGGAGGGGGACGCAAACAAAAAAUGGCUUUCAUAUUCAGAGAUGUUCAUGUUGCUGAGCUGUAAGCAGGAGCACCCUGUCUUCUCUGGUCUUUGACUUGAUUAAAGUAUCUCCGCUUUCUUGGGAGGGAACAGGGGAUGUUUUAUCGGUGAAUGUGCCAUACACCUUAUGGUCCACUUCAUGUGCCUUUCAGACUUAAAAGCGCGCGCGCGCGUGUGUGUGUGUGCGUGCGCGCUUCUUCUCUCCUAAAAAUCGAUAAGUAGCUCCAUCUGAGGAGGGGCGGAGCCUCUGGGUCAGGAAGCAGCUGGAAUCCACACUCACCUCAUUCCCAUUGUUUGGAUCAUGCCUCUUUCCAACACGUGUUCACAAUCUCCAAAGGGACUAUGUUUCUUCUCUGUGCUUAAUGUGAUUUGAAAUAUGUUGAAUCAAAGUGAAAUAUUUAUUUUUUGAAUAAAGGAGAUAAUAGCCUUAAACUGGAUGUUUAUCAUGUUUUGCAAAGGAGGUGCUGUCUGUGGGUCUCCCCCUGCCCACGGGGGUCUGCCCCUCUUCCCUCCCCUUCGCUUUCUCCUGUGGCUCUCUCCGCCUUCCCCAGCACUCCCUCUGCUCAUCAU
ensembl:lncRNA